rnacentral:lncRNA from 1 species
GUUUGUGAACAUUUUUUUUGUGUGUGUCUCUUAAAUAUUUGCCAAGACUAAAAAUGAAAAGCAACAUGCUGGAGAGACCGGGAUUGCACUUCUCUGUGAGACCCGAUGGGAAGCAGAUCACAGAACUUGUCACGGGAUGCUGUAUGGAUAGGAAGGAAUGAUGCUGGAGUCCUGGACAGAGAGACAUUCUAUUAUAUAGAAGAAUGGUGAUCAAGAAAUGGAUCUUCCCUUGCAAUCUAACUGGAAUUAUUUGCCAGAGCACAGGGAUGAAAGUCAGAAUAAAUGACCUUAAUGUAAUCUGAGG